rnacentral:rRNA from 1 species
AUGGACGACAACCCUGUCGUCUCUCCUCGCUCCUCUCAGCACGGCGUCGACGGCGUCCUUCACGCCGCUCCCCUAGCCGAUGCACCACCACCACCUCCCGCCGACGCUGCUGCCGUUGCUGCGGCUGUCGCCCCGGCUGCACCACCCCCUCCCGCGCUUCCCGCUCCGGUGCACCCUGCGCCUGCGCCCUCUGUCCCGUCCUCCAUCUUGCAGACGGUUGACAUUCGCCGCCAUGUUCCCGUCACUCUCGACCUCCUCGCCGGCAACUACACGCAGUGGCGCCGCCACUUCAACACCAUCGUCGGCAUGUUCGGCCUCCGCGACCACGUCGACUCCGCGGCCGUCCACCAUCACGGCGAUCCAGAGUGGGACAUGGCGGACCACGUCGUGGUGCACUGGCUCUACAUCACCAUUUCGCCAGAGCUCCUCGACGUCGUCAUGCAGCCGGACGACACCGCGCUCACCGUCUGGGCGGCUGUCGACGGGAUCUUCCGUGACAACCAGCUUGCUCGCGCCAUCUACCUCGACGCCGAGUACCACGCCGUUGUUCAGGGCGACAUGACGGUCAUGGCGUACUGCACCAAACUCAAGCAGUUCACCGAUCAGCUUCCGGACCUCGGCUAG